rnacentral:pre_miRNA from 1 species
AUACUACUCCCUCCGUCCCAAAUUCUUGUCUUAAAUUUGUCUAGAUACGAAUAUAUCUAAUACUAAAACGUGACUUGAUACAUCCGUAUUUAGACAAAUGUAAGAUAAGAAUUUUAGGACGGAGGGAGUACUAU